GGUGCAGCCCGGAACCCCGAGGAUGUGGACCGGGAGCGGCGAGAACACGAGCGCGAGGAGAGGAUGGGGCAGCUACGGGGGUCCGCGACCCGAGCCCUGCCCCCUGGCCCACCCACAGGGGCCACUGCCAACCGGCUCCGCAGUGCCGCCGAGCCCGUGGCUUCCACGCCGGCCUCCCGCAUCCAGCCGGCUGGCAAUACUUCUCCCAGAGCGAUCUCGCGGGUCGACCGGGAGAGGAAGGUGAGUAUGAGGCUGCACAGGGGUGCGCCCGCCAACGUCUCCUCUUCAGACCUCACUGGGCGGCAAGAGGUCUCCCGGAUCCCAGCCUCACAGGUGAGCUGCCCCCCUGCCAGUCCCUCUGGGCCUCAGAACUGAGUUAGAGACCCCCCAGUGGGAGGUCAGGCCGUGGCUCUGUUCUUCCCUCUCCAUCGACGCUGCUUGCCUUGGAGUGAACCCCUUCUGUUGAGCCGGGACUUGGCCUCGUUUAAUCCUCUGAGGUCUGAUGAGCCCUCUUGAGCAGAGUCAUUGACCAAGGCUCA
rnacentral:sRNA from 1 species